AGUUCUACUUUCAUCCGGGGCCCCACUCCCCAUUUCUAAAAGGAUUCUAAUGCUGCAAAUCCUAAUCCUAACAGCAAAUCAUCAGAGCUGCUCAAAGUUCCUCGGAGGUGGGACUCCAGCAGAUGGAAUGCCUGUACCUUUUCUGUUUGUCCGCGAUUAUCUUUCCUGCCUUGAAUAGCAGAGCUGAGCUUCUCCCUGAAGGCUGAGGACUUUUUGCUAAAGCAAUUUCUCUCUACCUUUUAAAAAAGUGCAUAUAUAUGGUGUAUUUUUUUUCUUUCAACUGAGGAUCAAGUCUGAGAAAGAAAAUGAGGAAUCAAGAUAGCCAAACAAUUCAGGCAAAAUAAAUUACCUGCAGGCA